UACGAAGGGGCUAGCGUUGCUCGGAAUCACUGGGCGUAAAGGGUGCGUAGGCGGGUCUUUAAGUCAGGGGUGAAAUCCUGGAGCUCAACUCCCAGUAACUGCCUUUGAUACUGAAGAUCUUGAGUUCGGGAGAGGUGAGUGGAACUGCGAGUGUAGAGGUGAAAUUCGUAGAUAUUCGCAAGAACACCAGUGGCGAAGGCGGCUCACUGGCCCGAUACUGACGCUGAGGCACGAAAGCGUGGG
rnacentral:rRNA from 1 species